GGGCAGGUAGCGAAGUGGUCAAACGCGACUGGCUGUAGACCAGUUGGCUUUAUGCCUUCGGGGGUUCGAAUCCCUCCCUGCCCACUA
rnacentral:tRNA from 2 species